GCAGACACAUUCCAGCUAAUCAGCAGCAGACCCUCCCUCCCAGACUCUCCCACCUACUGGACAGCAUCCAUUGUGAAGCUGCAUUCUUAGUGAGCUGUCCAGGAGGUGGGAGGGUCUGGGAGGGAGGGUCUGCUGCUGAUUGGCUGGAAUGUGUCUG
rnacentral:miRNA from 1 species